rnacentral:rRNA from 1 species
UACGUAGGUGGCAAGCGUUGUCCGGAAUUAUUGGGCGUAAAGCGCGCGCAGGUGGUUUCUUAAGUCUGAUGUGAAAGCCCACGGCUCAACCGUGGAGGGUCAUUGGAAACUGGGGAACUUGAGUGCAGGAGAGAAGAGUGGAAUUCCACGUGUAGCGGUGAAAUGCGUAGAGAUGUGGAGGAACACCUGAGGUGAAGACGGGUUGCUGGGCCAACACUGACGCUGAUGCGCGAAAGCCAGGGGAGCAAACGGG